rnacentral:rRNA from 1 species
AUACGGAGGAUGCGAGCGUUAUCCGGAUUUAUUGGGUUUAAAGGGUGCGUAGGCUGUUUUUCAAGUCAGGGGUGAAAUGCCGGGGCUCAACUCCGGAGCUGCCUUUGAUACUGGGAGGCUGGAAUACUGUUGCCGUGGGAGGAAUGAGUAGUGUAGCGGUGAAAUGCAUAGAUAUUACUCAGAACACCGAUUGCGAAGGCAUCUCACGAAGCAGUGAUUGACGCUGAGGCACGAAAGCGUGGGGAUCAAACAGGAUUAGAUACCCUGGUAGUCCACGCAGUAAACGAUGAUAACUAACCGUCGGCGAUAGACCGCCGGUGGCCAAGCGAAAGCGAUAAGUCAUCCACCUGGGGAGUACGACCGCAAGGUUGAAACUCAAAGGAAUUGACGGGG